AGCAGCCGCGGUAAUUCCAGCUCCAAUAGCGUAUAUUAAAGUUGUUGCAGUUAAAAAGCUCGUAGUUGAAUUUCGGGAUCAAUGCGUCGGUCGUGCUUUCGGGUACGUACUGGUGUCAUUGGUUUCUCCUUUCUGACGAGCCGUGAUGUCAUUAAUUUGGUGUUACGGGUGGUUAGGACUGUUACUUUGAAAAAAUUAGAGUGUUUAAAGCAGGCAUUAGCUUGAAUACAUUAGCAUGGAAUAAUGAAAUAGGACGUUCGAUCCUAUUUUGUUGGUUUCUAGGAUCAACGUAAUGAUUAAUAGGGAUAGUUGGGGGCAUUAGUAUUCAAUUGUCAGAGGUGAAAUUCUUGGAUUUAUUGAAGACUAACUACUGCGAAAGCAUUUGCCAAGGAUGUUUUCAUUAAUCAAGAACGAAAGUUAGGGGAUCGAAGACGAUCAGAUACCGUCGUAGUCUUAACCAUAAACUAUGCCGACUAGGGAUCGGAUGAUGUUAAUUUUUAAUGACUCAUUCGGCGCCUUA
rnacentral:rRNA from 1 species